GUAAAUGUCCUGAUAACUUCCUGGUUUGGCUCAGGCAGUUGAGUGAAGGCCGGCCACGCCUCCUCAUGACUCACCCUGAGAGCUCAGUCCUUGCCUGCUCGUUCAUGUGGAUGAGUCAUCAACAUGGAGCCGUCUG